CCCAUUCAUCCGAGAGGUGUCUGGUCGUGGUUUCUCUCUUCCCAUUCAUCCGUUGGUGUCUGGUCGUGGUUUCUUUCUUCCCAUUCAUCCGUUGAUGUCUGGUCGCGGUUUCUUUCUUCCCAUUCAUCGAGAGAUGUCUGGUCGUGGUUUCUUUCUUCCCAUUCAUCGGUAGAUGUCUGGUCAUGGUUUCUUUCUUCCCAUUCAUCCGUUGAUGUCUGGUCGUGGUUUCUUUCUUCCCAUUCAUCGAGAGAUGUCUGGUCGUGGUUUCUCUCUUCCCAUUCAUCCGUUGAUGUCUAGUCGUGGUUUCUCUCUUCCCAUUCAUCGAGAGAUGUCUGGUCGUGGUUUCUUUCUUCCCAUUCAUCGAGAGAUGUCUGGUCGUGGUUUCUUUCUUCCCAUUCAUCG
rnacentral:lncRNA from 1 species